rnacentral:misc_RNA from 1 species
UCCGGUUUGUCACCGGCAGUCUCCUUAGAGUUCCCGACCGUGUCGCUGGCAACUAAGGACAAGGGUUGCGCUCGUUACGGGACUUAACCCAACAUUUCACAACACGAGCUGACGACAGCCAUGCAGCACCUGUCACUGGUCCAGCCGAACUGAAGGGGUGAGUCUCCUCUCCCCGCGACCAGGAUGUCAAAGGCUGGUAAGGUUCUGCGCGUUGCUUCGAAUUAAACCACACGCUCCGCCGCUUGUGCGGGCCCCCGUCAAUUCCUUUGAGUUUUAGCCUUGCGGCCGUAGUCCCCAGGCGGAGCACUUAUUGCGUUAGCUGCGGCACCGGGGGGGUCGAUACCCCCGACACCUAGUGCUCAUCGUUUACGGCGUGGACUUC